UGUCGGUACUGUGAAGUGGUCUACACAAAACUCAACGGCUCUCAAUCUCACAAGUUAGCUGAACUGUUUGUACAAGGGGCACCAUUCG
ensembl:ncRNA C01C4.4 ncRNA